rnacentral:rRNA from 1 species
UACAGAGGCCUCGAGCGUUAGGCGGAAUCACUGGGCUUAAAGCGUGUGUAGGUGGAUGCCUAAGUACCUUGUGAAAUCCCACGGCUUAACCGUGGAACUGCUGGGUAUACUGGGUGUCUUGAGCCACUCAGGGGCUACCGGAACAAGCGGUGGAGCGGUGAAAUGCGUAGAUAUCGCUUGGAACGCCAAUGGUGAAAACAGGUAGCUGGGGGUGUGCUGACACUGAGACACGAAAGCCAGGGGAGCAAACAGG